CUAAUACAGAGAUUGCAAAAUAGAAAGAGUGAAAAGAAAUUUUGUGAGUCAUGUUUCCUGUACUACAGCUUGACUUUUGUGUCAGUGGAGAUUCUGAUAAUGAAACUGAACUGCCAAAAUUGUACAUUCCUAAGGGGCUCUUAGAUGAAAUUAUUCGACAAAUUAGGCUCCGAAAAACACGUAUGGGUAUUCCUCAGAUGCCAGGAUAUUACAAAGUAACUUAUUUUAUAACAUUAUUUUAUUGACAUUCUAAAACUAAAAUAAUUUGUAUUUUACUUUCAAACUCAGAUCCAGUAUUUACCUAUAAAAAAGUAGUAAUAGUAAUAUUCAAUUUCUAAUUCUUUUAUAUUGACACUUGUGAUGAUGUUCUCUGACAUGUACAACUAGGUUGUCAACAAUAGCCUCGAUUAGCUCUAUAAUGAUACAAUUGAGUGAUCUCACGAACUGUUUUUUACCCAUGAAGAUGAGUUACACAAGACAGUUUAUAAAUACUGGACAAGUAACAUUCACGUAUUGAGUGGUGAAUCACAUUAGAUACUAGUAGAUUAAAUUUAUAAUUUUCCUAUACUGAAAAUGUAUUUCCAAUAGGUACUGAUCUUCGCUCACAUAAUUAGUUAUUCUUGUUUAGUGCUGCCCUCUAUAUGCAAACUUUUUCUUUAUGUAUGCCACAAGCCUUCUGCUCCUCCCUUUUGGAAUUGCAAGACUCCAACAUUUCUCUCAUGCAAAUCAUCAUACAUCACCUUCUCACAAAUAGGAGCAUGAUAUGCUCGCGUGAUGCAUGUGACUCCCUCUACACUUCUCUACCGAACUAUCACUUCAAAGUUUGGCAGAAAAUGUCAGCACCAGAGAAAUGUGGGGAGGAAGGGUGGGAAGUGUGAGAGGAGGGAAGUACCUAUCAGAAAUACAUUUUCAUUAUAGGAAAAUUAUGACUUCCAAUACAGUUCAUUACCUAUUCUCACAUAAAUAGCUAGAAUAGGCACAUUGACUAGGCAGAGGGACUGGUGCAAGGAAAGAAAAGAAGCAUCUUUUGAAAGUGUCCAAAGGAUACCCCUUGAGACUAGAGAGUCAGAUUCAAAGACCUGAUGUGGGAGACCACACUACUUCUGCACCAGGUAUACUCUUUGCCCGUCUGAGAAAAGUGUGGUAUAUAUGAGUGGAAAACAGAAGAGCACAUCCAAUUAGUGUAGGUAAAACAGUGGAAUUGCCCCUAGGUGUAGAGUUGCCAGGGUGCGACAGACCAUACUCAGCAAGUCAAUUGCAUCCGAAGCCCAUGCUGCUGGAACCGACAUCCACUCGGGGGUGGGAUGGGGAUAAUACCGUCUUCACCCUAAGUUCAAGAGACCAAAGAGGAUCUCAAACCCCCCUGACUCCAGAACAGGACAUAUGUUAAGAAUAGAAAAUGAUAUAUUGAUCCGGGAACCUGGCAUCUGGAAUCAAAAAUAUGUCUACCAUAGAGAAAUUAACUUCCUCAACAUUGAAACUGACAGGAACCAACCCAGAUGCAAUAACACCCUCAGAAUAAGGUACAAGGAGAGAGAGCAGAAGGGAAAAACCAUAACAAUUCCAAUUACCUCCACCAUGACCCACAACAUAGAUGGAGUAUGGUUGAGGGAGGAAGACAGACAUUCGUAAUACAUGUGAGGACUUAUGUUGAUUGGUUUUAUGUUAAAUCCACAACCUGCCAGUGGGAACUGACAUCCAUGUGGUGGUAGGAUGAGGGAUCCCAACUGAAGUGGUGAACUGCAAUUGGAUGUGUCACUCCUUUGGUUUACAUAUGCUUUAUAACAUAGGAUAUGUCAUCUACACCAUCAGAACACCACCACCCUAGUCUGCACAGAAUGGUAUUUCUGUAUUGAAAUUUUAUGUCAUUAAACCAUUCAGGAGGAUGCCUCCACAGUCUACCAUCACAGUGGUUUAGAACUGGUAAGUGGGAAGGACUCUCAAACUCUGCUAGAAGAAAAGGAGAGUGAAACAUGGUGGAGAUUCUGGCGGAAUGUCAAGACUUGAGACAGUGCAAUGGGUGACCAUGAAACCCUAUUUUUUAAAAGCAUAUCAUACUGAUUUAUUCAACACAAGGCAUGGCAGGGAUGGGCAGCUAUCCCCUCCUGCUUUACCCAUGUGGUCCAUGGGUGGUAUGGUCUGGGACAGGCAUAUUUAUGCAGCAAUUUCAUCAUGAGAACAAUGUGCAAGAGGAUGAUGAAAGAGCAGAAUAAGCCAAUGAAAUCAAAUGCAUAACACAAUUGAUGAGGGUGGAAGGAGAAAGAUCAUGAAUCAUUACCAGAUGAUGUCUGGCCAGAUGGAGGAAAUGAUCCAAGGCCUGACAGACAGCAAGAAGCUCCAGUGUUGAUGUGAUAAAACUUCUUGGGUGCAAACCAACACCUCAAAACAUCUUAUUGAUCGACCCAUGCCCCCCAUCCAUGGAGGGUAGUGUAUGUGAAAAUAUUUAAAUCUGGACAAGGAGAAGGAAGCAAGACACCUGCCAACAAGUGGUUCCUGUCCAACCACCAAUGCAGAUUGUCGACUGUGGUAGGAGGAAGGGUAAUAAGAGUUUGCAAAGGAUCCUGUGCAAUAUUCCACUGGUCAUGAAGAGCCCACUGAAGAGCUUGCAUAUGAGCACGACCACAUCCCCAAAAGCAAUAGAACCUCAAGAGCUGUAAAAGGAGGAGCAGUAAGAGCAUGGUGAACUGAGAGCUCCAUUGAACAAAGUUGAAGAAGAGAAGGUUGUGCCCGACUGAGACGGGUGUUGAAAAACAAAAACACCCAAAUGGAUGAGAUACUGAGUAGGAAAGACAUCUCCAAUUUGAUUAACCAGUACACUUGAGCCACCUCCUGGAGCAGCUAAAGAGUAUGACAGGCAGACUCCUGUUUGGAACAAGCUAACAGUAGCCAGUCAUUCAUAUAAUAAUGAAAACACAUUUCGAGAGUAUGAAGAUGACGAGCAAUAGCUUAAACCACCUGACAAAAAACAUAUGGAGCCAAAGAAAGUCUGAUGGGUAGUGCGCAAAACUGAUUAAUCACCUCUCAAUGGACAAACUGAAGUUAUGGCCAUGACUGCCAAGCUAUCAGUAUAUGUAAGAAAGCAUUCUCAACAUCCAUCUUGUUAAUCCAUAAACCUGGAGAAAAAGCCAACCUGAGGGUGAAAAACAAUUCCAUGGUAAAAUGAGGGAGAUUGAGAAAUUGAUUGAGGUGGAAAAAUCAAUGACAGGCUGCCGGUCUCCAGUUUCCUUGGGGACAAGAAACAGCCUGGAAUAAAAACCGAGAGAAAGAUGAUUCAUGGGUUUAAUGGCCUGUUGAAACAAAAGGUUUUGAACUGCCUCUGACAGAUGCUGGCUGGUAAUAGGAUCCUAAGGUAGAGGGGAGGAAAUGGGUUUCUAUGACAAAGGAGGAGGGGAAAGGAAUUGUAGGAUAAGUCUGACUGAGAAAACCCAAAUAACCCACUGAUCUGUGAUAUAAUAUUGCCAAAGGGAAACAAAGUCACUCAAUCGAGCUCCCACUGGUACUGUUGGCAUCGUGCUGAUCUACAUAAAAGAAAAUGACGAGAUAUGGAACUCCUGGAAGAAGGAACAGGUAGGGGCUGAGAAGGACUAGGACUGGAAACAGGAAUAGGGGCUUGUCAUGAUUCUGACUGUGACAAAUGAGCUACGAAACAUGAAAGGGUAGAGUGUUGAUGCAGGGAUUCCACUCAUGAUUCCAAAGUGUCUGGGAUAUGGAAAACAUACUGCCUAAGAAAAGAGGCUAUACAUAAUUCUCUGAGAUAGAUGGACAGCAAACAAACUUGUGACAAGGCUGUAUCAUGACUAUAAAGA